UGGGAAUUGCUCUUUACCCUUCAAGCCAUC
rnacentral:piRNA from 1 species